rnacentral:lncRNA from 1 species
GCUUCGCACCGUUAGUGUAACGAUAAGGGAACACAACAGGGGUCCAGUUUAUGUCCCAGGUUAGGGGAAAGGAGGGUUGGCGCCUUUAAACGAGUUUAACCUGACCACAUUCUGUAUGUUCCUGUCCCGAGUCAAGUAGUCUGUAAUUUAGUUUGUUGCUAUGUAACAUAUUUGUUUUUCGUUCAUUAUUUUGUACAUAAAUUAGGUUUUCUCGUUUGAAUUGUUUUACAUAUGUCAUUUCGGGGCCUUUUAUAGCUGACUAUGCGGUAUGACUUUGCUCAUUGUUGAAGGCAGUACAGUGACCUAUAUAUGUAAAUUUCAGUGUCAUUUUGUCUCUUGUGGAGAGUUGUAUCAUUGGCAAUCAUACCACAUCCUUUUAUUUUUUUUUAUAUAUAUAGAAACACAUAUGUCAUCAUCCUUGUGUUUUAUAUACAUUGCUUCAAAGUUGACCGAUACGCUUAGAAUUUGACAGAAAACGUGUGACGUUACAGAAUAAAGUAAUUUGGUAAACAGUGAUAUUGAGGUACAAUUUGAAUUGAUUGAUUGAUGGUUGCUCAACGUCCGGUGGCAACUAUUUCAUGCAUUUACAGGACGAUACAGUGCAAUUUGAAUUGUUGUGUCUGAAAAACACAUUUGGUGCAGCAGUCAAGAAAGGUUAAACAUUCUGUUAUUUGUGAAAAUUAAAAAGAAAAUCAACAUCCUGAUACAAUACACAAUCUUAAUAUAGCAUGCUUUGUACAUGUAUGAUGUAAACGUGUGGGUUGUGUGCGUAGUUAGUCGGACCAUGGAAGUGGAAGUAUUAUAUACUUCCAUGGUCGGACAAACCUUGCAAACUGUAUGCAAAAUUUCACUCAAAUACACCAAGUUCAACAUUCUGUCGUUCGUGAAAAAUUAUUAAAGAAAAAAAUGAUCCCGAGAAUAUAUAUGCACCCUCAAUAUAGGUAAAAAAAUAUAUCGGCGCAAUAUAUUUAAAAAUGCCAAAUUUAGCAACAUGUCAUAAAAAAAAAAAAAAAACAUUGACAAGAUGCGAAUCGUUAGUGUAUGUACUAACACCAGGUACAUCAUUUAAAAGUUUAAGCUUAAAAACUGUACAUAAUCCUACGAAAUCAGCCGUAUAAUCCUAUACUAGUAUACCAAGUGCGGGACUGUCGAAAGGACACUGGUAAAACAAUAUGAUCCCAGUAUUUAGCCAAGGGCACACAAUUUAUAUUAGCAUAUAUAAUGAUGUUCUAUUUAUAAAUUAUUAUAAAUCAUUUGGUGACAAAAUAUCUUUUUGUAUAAGCAGUUCAUAGUGGAUGGUAAUUGGGAGAUAUCAAAUAUAGCAAACUAAC